UGUCUGGUUUCCGAUCGGCACGAGAUUUUGUGGGAAGCUUCGUGACGUCUAAGUCUAGCGU
rnacentral:sRNA from 1 species